AAGCAAUGCUGUGUGGAAUACUUUCACAAUGGAUAAGACAUUCUAUAAGUAUGUGGAUGUUAGUUUGAGGAGCAACAUUGUGUGUAAGGAAGGCAAAUCCAAAUCCAGAGUAAACGUCUGUUCCAGUGAGAACAAAAGGCUGCCCCUUCCAUGAUGGAAGUGGUCCAAAGUAAUCUUCCUGCCGCCAGGUAGCUGGCCGAUCAUCCUGGGGAAUGGUGCCAUAUCAGGGAUUUAGCGUUGGUCUCUGCUGUUGGCAGAUUGGGCACUCAGCGGUGGCUGUAGCCAGGUUGGCCUUGGUAAAUACAAGAACAUUUUUCUGAGCUCAUGCAUAACCUCCAUCCCUACCACCAUGGCAACAUUGUUUAGGAGCACGUUGGGUGAUAACAGGCCUGGCUGGAGAAAGAGGCGUACCGAAUGGGUCAUCCUGUCAACUUUGAUUAUUAAAAUUCUCCUCUGCUAAGGUCAUUCUUGGGUGAGCAUUCACAAGGGAUACAAAUAUCUUCACCUUUUUUGACCCAUUCAGAAAAGUCAAUCCACAUACCUCUUCCCCAAAUCUUUAUCACCAGUUUUCCAAUCUUGUUUCCAAGUUCCUGGCCAUCCAAAACCAUUGGUGAUAGCCUAUGAAUCAGUACACACUUUCACGUCUGUCCAUUUAUCCUUCCAAGGAAAGUGAACAGACAGGUGCACGGCUUGAAGUUCUGCCAUUAAUAGGAUUUCCCUUCCCCAGUGUCCUUCACAGAUGUUCCAGAAAGGGGCUGUAGAGCUUCAGCUGUCCUCUUUCAGGUGGGUACCUGUAUAUCACGCAGAAUCAUCUGUAAACCAGAUCUGAGUCUUCUCUUCCUCUGUCAACUGAUCAUAGAGAAUUUCUCAUGUAGCUAUAUGUGCAGACUGGGAGAGAGAAGACAAUAUAGCAGGAGUAGGUAUCAUGGACAUUUGGGCCACUUCAUGUAACUUACUUAUGCUGUCAGGGCCUGCUCAUUCCUGAUCAUGUAUGUACCAUCUCCAUUUUAUGAGGGAGUGUUGCUAUGCAUUCCCAACUUUAUGGCCUGGGGUUAACAGUUCAGACUACUAAGGCCCAGUAGCAGGUCAAGAGCUGUUUCUCAAAAGGAGAGUUAUUUGCAGAGGAUGGCAGAGUUUUGCUGUAAAAUCCUGAGGACCUGUUCGGCAAAUCACCUGGAGGGGCCUGCCAAAGGCUUCAAAUACCAUCCCUAUCUGCCGCUAACACUCUAAGUACCAUUGGCUCUCCUGGAUCAUAUGGCCCAAGCUACAGAGCAGUUUGUACAACAGCCUGGACCUGUUGCACAGUCUUCUCUUGUUCUGGGCACCACUCAAAACUAACAGCUUUUCAGAUCACUGGGUAAAUGAGCCAGAGUAAGACACCCAAAUAAGGAAUAUGUUGCCUCUGAAAUUCAACGAGUUUCGCUAGGUGCUAUGCCUCUUUUUUGGUUGUAGGAGUGGCCAGAUGCAACAAAUUAUCCUUCACCUUAGAAAGAAUAUCCUGACAUGCCUCAUACCAAUAGGCCCCUAGAAAUGUCGCUGAGAUAGAGGCCUCUGAGUUUGGUCAGAUUUAUUUCCCACCCUCUGGCACAUAAGUAUUUACCAAUUAGUACUUCUGCUAAUACUGACUUAAAGAAUAAGUGGCUCCUCGUUGCUCACUAAAUUCAAUCAGCAUAAUAGUAUCAAUGUGAGGGACCAGUGUAAUAGCUUGUGGAAAGAAAACGUGGGUCAAGAUUCCCAUGAACUAAAUUAUGACAUAGGGCUGGAGAAUCAGUAUAUUCUUGAUGUAGGACAGCAAAAGUGUAUCAUUGGCCUUGCCAGCUGAAAACUAACUGCUUCCGGUUGGUUUUAUUGAACAGGGAAGGAGAAAAAAAGGCAUUUUCCAGAUCAACAGUGGGAUACCAGUUACCAGAGAAUAUGUUGUCUAUCUCCAACAAUGAAACCACAUCUGGUACUCCAGCUGCAAUUGGAGUCACCACCUGGUUAAGCUUAUGAUAAACUACUGUCAUUCUCCAAGAUCCAUUUAUCUUCUGAACAAGCCAAAUAGGGGAGUUGAAUGGGAAUGCGGUGGGAAUCAACGCCCCUGUAAUCAUUCCUAAGGAGAAUUACAAUGAAAAUUGAACUCCCAGCUUGGAAGAGUGUUUACUUUUAAGUGAGAGCAUUGACUGGGAAAGAAUAGUAUCUUGUAAAUUAGGAUGGUGACAUAUGGGAAAACUGAUGAAGCUGGAGACUGGAAGUCAAGAGGCCACUUCUACUGGCAAAGAAGUCCCAUUCCCACACGUGUCCUCAGCUUGCAAUUUACCUAGCCACAGGAUGAGAUUCUGUGUUUGAUUUUCAGCAAUCUCAGACUUGCUGCUAUAGGAGAUAAGAGUCUCUCUCAGGCCACACAAAGAAGGCUUGAGGUCAAUUUUUAUGGUUCUUGUGCUGGGAAUUCAAAUUUCCAGGCUCAUUCUUUCCUUUCACCACUUUGUCCAAGGACAUUAG
rnacentral:lncRNA from 1 species